AAAAAUUAAAUCAGGAAAGUCAGCAACGUGGAAAAGAAACAAGCAAUAAGGCAUAAGCGCUUUUUCCAAAAGCUAUUUUUUUCCUCUCAUCUUCCUCACGUGACAGCAGCAACAACAAUACGCUUAAAUUCUUCAUCUAUUUUUUCAGAAAAAAAUCGAUAGAACAAACAACCAACAAUCGGAUUCAGUUUUCGAUUUUGGAUUGUUUCAAUUUCGGUUUUGGUUCGUGUUUGGAAGUUUCGACUCAGUGGAUAGUUUGGAUUCGAGCAGAGCUUUUUCACGGUUUAGAUUUUGCAUUCCUGCCAAGUUUUCCAUACAUGUUUGUUUCGAUUUCGAAUCGAGUUUUGUUUCAGUUCAUAAUUUGAUUUACGUUUUCUGUUCAUAAUUGGUUGCGUUUUUGAAUUAUUGCAUUUUUACGGAUUCGACUCAAUUACGGAUUCUACUAAAGUUUGAUUAUGAUUUGAUUUCGGUGCAGAUUUUGGUUUGAAUUAAAAUUAAAGCACGUAUACAAUAUCAUAAAGCUAAAUUGGAUGAGCGCUCACCGGUUGAAACUUGAAAUGAAGAAAAAUUGCAGAUUUCGUCCUCACUCGCAAGGUGUUCGAUGAAAUGUCCCAACCGGAUUCUUUCUUCUUUUUGCUUCAGUUUUGAUUUUCUUACGAAUCAAAACUAGUUUCUAAGAUUUAUUGCAACAUAGGUGGAGCUGCCAAUUGAUAAAAAUAUAGUGAGUUGGUGAAAUCAAUGAAAAAGAAAAGUGAGGCUCUUGCUGAUCCUUGGAUUAUUGACUUUGAAUAUAGAGUUAAAGAAGAUGUUGGUUACUACGAGACUGACAAAAGGUGCAAGAAUACUCAAAUCGCUUAAUCAGGUACGAAAUUUUUGCAUGCACUUCUUAUAUCUUAUAAUCUUAUACUUGUAGUAUUUUACCUAUAAAAGGGGUUGAUUCUGGUCAAGAAUCAAGAUCAAUGUUAUAAUUUCAUUUAGCGAGAAAGGUUAUUAGUUAUUGUUUUUUACCAAUGAUUAUAUCAAGCACCACUUAGUUUUUAGGACCCUUCAUGAUUAAUUUUUGGUAGUAUUUUCCUAUAAAAGGUGUUGUUCUUGUAACAUUUACAUAUUAAGUUGAGUUGAAUUAAUUAUAGUGUGUUGGUAAUACCACUGAUAUAUUUGGUAUUAAAAGAAAUUUCCUAUCAAAUUAUAUUUGCAGUGUCUAUGUGUGAAUUCUUGUGUGUAAGUAUACCCCAGUGAUAUAUUUGGUACAACUUGUUCCAUUGGAUCGUUUGAAAUAAAGUUGAGAUAUUAAAAAAAUAGAUUAAUCCUGUAACAUGCAUAUACAUGUUUUGUAGGAAUUGAACAUGUUAAUGCAAUUUUUGUUUGUUCUAAUUGUUUUGAACUUGUAGGAAUUGAACAUGUUUUGUAGGAAUUAAACUUGUUCCAUUGGAUCUUUUGAAAUAAAGUUGAGAUAUUAAAAAAAUAGAUUAAUCUUGUAGCAUGCAUAUACAUGUUUUGUAGGAAUUGAACAUGUUAAUGCAAUUUUUGUUUGUUCUCGUUAUUGAUCAGGGUCCUUCUGUUGGGUUUGAUGUUGACUUGAGCAUAUUUGAUCUAUUCCAUGGUCAUCUUUUCCUAACCAGAGACUUCGGAAGAGUUGGUAUCUUGUAUGUUGAUGAGUAUUAGUUAGUGAUGCAGAUACUUUUCUCGGUUAAAUUGUACUCAUCAGUUUCUCAUUAUAAUUAAACUAUGAUAUUAGAAUAUACUUGAAAGAAUGUUGAUUAUUGAAAAUGAAACGGUGUCUUUGAGAUACAAGAACAAACUUUGCUCCUGCAUCUAAUUCAGGUGAACCAGAAGAGUCAUGAACGAUUGCAAAACCCUUUUCACUAUGUGUUGGAAACUCUUUUGGACAUGCUUAGCAACUUGCAUCAUUAUUAGUUUAUAAUAAGAUAUUAAUAUAAAGUCCUUAUUUUAUUGUAUGGUAUUGUGAGGUGGGGUAUAGUAUAAAUAUAAAGUAUUGAAGGUGGCUAAGGAGAAUCGUCCUAUGUGAAUAUAAAAGUCAAUUUAAUCAGCUAUAUAAUAUAAUAAAAAAAUCAUAUGCCAAAUACUAUGUAUGUUGUUUUUGGAGAAAAAAAAACGUUGAAGUGGUGUUAUAGUCUGGUAGGCACAUUGACCCCUUGCAGCUUGUCAAACACAAGUCAUUGGUAUGAAGAUUAGAAAUACUAUGAUGGUUUUAUAGUCAGUGGUGUUAUUGUUGAUUAAUGGCUGCUUUCAAAUGAGCUCACUCAUCUCUGGAAAUUGUGGCUACUGUUUCAGAUUAAGAUCAAUUUUCUUUAGGAGUUAUUGAUGCUGUCUCAAAUUUCUCUCUUCGGCACGACCCUUUUAUCAGGCACUUUCAGUUUGUAAGUAACCCAAUACUUGGCUUAUGUGUUCUUUAAAUUCAAUUUUCUUUAUGUGAACUAGAUGCAAUCAUUGUUCUAUCUUUCAUAGCCUCGGAAGCUUCUCUAUUCAUUCAAGUAUCUUUCAUAGUCCAUAGAUAAUCUUAAAUGGAUUAUAUAAAAACAGAUUGACAGCAAUUACUAGCUUGUUAAUUAUAUACUGUGUUAAUAAAGUAUUAUGUGAAUUCCAGCAAUAGUAACAUAUAUUCUUGUCAGUAUAUCUUGCAAUAGUUACAUUAAUAUAUAAGUGUAUCAUUUUUUGCAUCCGUUGAGGUCGCUAGUAUGGCUGCUAUUGCAGCAGCUCACGGUAAUAAUCUUUGCUUUAUUUACACAAUUAAAUAAGGUAAUUCCACUUAUUUGCAAUAAGUCUUAAUUCAUGUAACCAUACUGAUAUUUGAUAGAGAGCCAUUAGGUCUGCGUCGGUUGGUAGAGCAGUACUUGAUAAUACUGAUGUUGCAGUUAAGGCCUUAAGACCAGACAUAACUCAAGGGGAGAAGCAAUUUCAUCAAGAGGAUUUGUAGCUGGAGUUUUCAGCAUUACUUGCUGUGGCGUUAAGAAAUACAGGAGGCGCAACGAUUGGGUUAGUUAGUUAGUUAGUUAGUUGCAUCUAAUUUAUUAGUCUAUUAGAUUGUAGAAUUGUUAGGUUUAUAAGUUUCAUUUUUUAUGUGAUGGAGGACUUAUAACAAUGUUGUGCUGUAUGCAAGUGUAAGUAGUUGUUCUUUUAACAAAUAUGGAUUAGUGAAGAAGCUUAGACUUUGUUCCUUAUCCCUAAUAUGGAAUUUUGUUUUAAAGAUUGUAUUACAAAGCUCUAUAGGUUAUAGGCACUAGGCGGUCAUUUAUAGAAUGCUGUUAAUUAUAAUUUAGACAUCUUAGUCAUGUUACAUAGCUUCUAAUUUGUCAACAGAUGAGGUAUAUCCACAGACAGGAUGCAGUAAAUUACUAUACUUAGUAGUCUAGAGUUGUUAAAGAAGAAAGUCUAAACUCAAUUUUAGAGUCAUUGUUAAAGUAAGUGUUGUAUUCUGUGAGGAGAAAAGCCUUAUUUAAAUAUGAGUUUUCGUACAUAGAACUAGCCAAUGCUACAGAUAACUUCAGUUUAGCUAAAAAUUGGUCAUGGUGGUUUUGGAGAGGUCUACUAUGGAGAGUUGAGAGGAAAGUAAAGGAGAUUUGUGACUUUGGUCAAGUUUGGAUUAGCUUCUAAAAUUGUUAAUUAAAAUAAGUUGAAAAAAGUUGUUAUCACUUAAGCACAUAUGUGUUUAUGGACAGGUUGUAACACUGUUUGGUAUGCCUCAUAGUUACUGAUAAGUGGGUGGUCAUUCAAGAGUAUGGUGCAGUCGCGCAGAGGUAGACACAAUUGGCCGAACUUUGUGAUGAAACAUUGUGUGUUCUUCGUCUGAAUUUUCUUUCAUAUCUUUUCACUUUUGAACCAGAUUGCUGCUCUAGCAUAACCAAAAAUAUUGAGCCAUAGAAGCACACUUGUGUACUUAAAGGAUGCUGCUGUAAGUAUAGUUUUCAACAAACUUUUUGGCUGCUUAUGUAAUCACGCACCCAAACCGAUAGGUGCCGCAGUUUUAAAGUAAAGCCCUGUACUUUCUAGCUUCAUUAUAAAUUCAAUGUGUAGUCGUGUAUUGUGGAAUACAAUUCUGUCUUCAAUCAAAUACAUUGCUCAA